rnacentral:rRNA from 1 species
GACGAACGCUGGCGGCGUGCUUAACACAUGCGAGUCGAACGGAAAGGCCCUGCUUUUGUGGGGUGCUCGAGUGGCGAACGGGUGAGUAACACGUGAGUAACCUGCCCUUGACUUUGGGAUAACUUCAGGAAACUGGGGCUAAUACCGGAUAGGAGCUCCUGCUGCAUGGUGGGGGUUGGAAAGUUUCGGCGGUUGGGGAUGGACUCGCGGCUUAUCAGCUUGUUGGUGGGGUAGUGGCUUACCAAGGCUUUGACGGGUAGCCGGCCUGAGAGGGUGACCGGCCACAUUGGGACUGAGAUACGGCCCAGACUCCUACGGGAGGCAGCAGUGGGGAAUAUUGCACAAUGGGCGGAAGCCUGAUGCAGCAACGCCGCGUGCGGGAUGACGGCCUUCGGGUUGUAAACCGCUUUCGCCUGUGACGAAGCGUGAGUGACGGUAAUGGAUAAAGAAGCACCGGCUAACUACGUG